CAAGCUGUAUCUAACUGUCCAUUCAAAGUUUGCCUUACUAUAGCCAUAGAGAAUCACCAUCAGACAUGAUGCAGCUUUUUAAGAACCAUGAGGCAUAAGCAGUAUGGCACUAAGGCAAGUCAAAUCGUCUGGGUCCUUCCACUAACCAAAUUUAUAUGGUUUUCUGAACCACACCUUCUGAUUGUAAAUAAGUCAUUGCAACAGGUCUGUGAGUGAGACAGUCUGUCAUGUUUUCACAUGCAUUUGUCUGUUCUUACAUGCACAGGAAAGCAUAUGACAAAUUUGAACCUCAAAUAACAAGUGGUAUCAAAUCUUGCUCAAGAAAGACUGAAAAAAUGUGAAAAAGCAUGACAUUGGAAAGAUACAUUGUGAUGGAUGAAUCACUGUGACUGUUUUCUCAGUUGUACAGUUUCUUCAUCACUGCAGCAGAGUAACCGGUAACCAGUCAUUCAGUUUAACAGCAAAUAUUGAAGCCAAAUACUAAAAUAAUUUGCACAUAUUUAUAGCACAGUGGUAAGUCCAGAAAGUGCCAUAUCUGGUGGUGUUUGUCAGUGGGAUUUGGAGGAAGCUCUGCAAAUUAUUUCUCACUUAAUGCAACAAAAGUUCCAUAUUUCAGUAGAAAGUCAAUACAUCCACAUCUGUGAGGAAGUUAACUCCAGUUCAUAGAGAGUUGCAGAGUUUUUUCCCUAACAUUUUUAAAACAUAAAACCCUUGAAUAUGUGGGUGUGUGGAGAUGUAUGAUGUAUUUCUAUGUCCUGUACGUGCUGUGGAGAUCUGCAUUCUUCUUUGGGUAAAGAUGAGAGUUGAUAUAUACCAUGUGCAUGCAUAGAGUCAUUUCUUAAUUUAGCAACUCAUACAGAAAUUCUGUCCAAUUCUUUUCAUCCUUCCUUCUUUCACUGUGUCUGUGUGGCAAACACCCUGGGGUUCCUGUGGUUUUUGAAGUGUAUUUGCAUGAUACUGUAUAAAGAGCGAAUACAUUGUUUUGCAGUUGUUUGAAGGAGGUCACAAUAAUGGAUUUUUCUUCUUCUUUUUUUUUCCUUUCUUUUUCUUUUCUUUUUCUUUUUUUUCUCCUUUUCAUUGGUAGUUUUAAGAGUCAUUUGAGGAUCAGCAGUUUUACAUCUAAGAAGCACCUAAUUGUGACAAAUUAACAAGAGACUUUAGAUGUGGUCUAAUGCCUGGUGUUCCUGCAAAUCCCUCUCUAAAAGGAAAAGUUACAUUAUUUUUUAUUUUUAUCUAAGUGUUUGGCUCCUGAGCUGUAAGCACAGAAAAAGAGGAUUUCUUUGCAGAAAGGGAGGCGAAGUAUUUUUUGGUCACAAAUAAGACCAAAAUUUUUCAGACAUUCUAUAUCACUGUGAUAAUAGUGCUUUUCCCAUUCUUGAACUGGUCUUUAGAACAGUCAAACAGGAAAUACUCCACAGGAUUUUAUUUUUUAAAAAGUUUUGGAAAACUGUUGGUAUAUUGUCUAGUGCAAAAGUAAGCAACAAAGCUUUAUAGUACAUAGUUAAUUGGAGCAAGUGUUGAAGAGUCCAUCUUUCUGUGGUCCCUAUACCUCAUUUUCACUUUGAUAAGUUUAACCAUUAUGACAAACUGAUAGGACACAUUACCCACCUCUUAACUCUUCUGUGUUAAUGUAGUCCCAUCUACAGUAACUCAGAAUGACAUAAAGAGUGGGAAAGAUUAAAGCAUAUGUCUAUCCCUCUAACAGAUACACAAAGGCUCCACCAGAGUCUACCAGUGAGGCAGGAAAAAUGGAGUGCUUACAUAGAUGAGCAAGAAGUGUUGUUUCUUCUUAAUGGCUGCCACCUGUGCAGUGCCUCUGCUGCAGCUGGAGGAAGGGGACUGCAGCAGUGCAGUCAGAAGGAAGGAAAAAUGUAGCUGUGCGCCUGCAGCUGCUGAAGACUUAAGGAGCCUUAUGAAGAGAAACAUGGAGUAAAGGGAAGAAGACUGAUUACAGCCCAGGUAUUUAUAGGAAGACAAGAAUGGAUGAGUUAGAGGAGCCUUGUGUUUGAAAGAAGAAUAUUGGGACAUUCAGAACUAAGAGGCAAUUUGGAAUGGGAGUCACAAGGAAGUCAUUACAAAGAAGAACUGGGAAAGUGCCUCACAAAGGACUUGCAAGGGAAAGAGAUCUCAACUGGAUAAGCCCAUAAGCAACUUGAGCUGAAAUUGGUCCUGCCAUGAGCUGAAGAUUGAAUGAGAUCUCUUCUGUGAGCUUUUCCUCUAUCCAACAUACAGUGUUGCAUAUUUCAAUACUAAACGUGUAGUAUAUGAAAGGAACAUUAAAGUUAUGAAAAAGA